rnacentral:rRNA from 1 species
CCUACGGGAGGCAGCAGUGAGGAAUAUUGGUCAAUGGACGAGAGUCUGAACCAGCCAAGUAGCGUGAAGGAUGACUGCCCUAUGGGUUGUAAACUUCUUUUAUAUGGGAAUAAAAUGUUCCACGUGUGGGAUUUUGUAUGUACCAUAUGACUAAGGAUCGGCUAACUCCGUGCCAGCAGCCGCGGUAAUACGGAGGAUCCGAGCGUUAUCCGGAUUUAUUGGGUUUAAAGGGAGCGUAGGUGGAUUGUUAAGUCAGUUGUGAAAGUUUGCGGCUCAACCGUAAAAUUGCAGUUGAAACUGGCAGUCUUGAGUACAGUAGAGGUGGGCGGAAUUCGUGGUGUAGCGGUGAAAUGCUUAGAUAUCACGAAGAACUCCGAUUGCGAAGGCAGUUCACUGGACUGCAACUGACACUGAGGCGCGAAAGUGUGGGUAUCAAACAGGAUUAGAUACCCGAGUAGUC